CUUUGAUAUUGAAAGACCCCCGAAGGGAGCCCCCCACUCAAGUCUCGGGAAAGACGCGCACCCAGUAGGACACAGACACCG
rnacentral:pre_miRNA from 14 species